rnacentral:lncRNA from 1 species
UAUGGAAUCCAAAACACUCAUCGCAUACCUAAAAAUACCCAAAAAAUCCAAAAUCGGUAUCCAAAACUCAUUCCAGAUAAGUUUGGGGUUUUACCACGGUGGCGGCACCGUGCUCUGAUGCUAGCUCUGUCGUCCACGGUGGUGGUUUGCCUCGGCCUAGAUAGUUUUUAUCGGUUUUGGCUGAUUUUGGUUGUAUCUUUGCAGAAAAACACGUUAGGGCGACUCAAUUGGCCGAAAAAUAACAAAAAUUGAAUCUACCGGCGGGGGAACCUCCAGGUGCGGUGGCUUCGUUGGUACUCCUUCACGGCUGAGAUUCUUUCUUUGAUAUUCUGCGUUGAUCUGGGCCAUUUAUUGCGAUCGAUCUCGUCCGUCCGAUCACGUCUAAGGAGGAAACGGAUCUGAAUUGUUCAUCGCGAUUGAUUUUGACCGUCCGAUCGCUCUUAAGGAAAAAUCGAAUCUGGGCCGUGCACGCAAGUGAGAUCGAUCCUGGGUUGUCCGAUCGUAGGGCACGCAGAUCGUCAGUAUGGCCUCCCCCCUGGCACCGACGUCAGU